GGUGAGGAGUAGUGAGCAUGCGCUCUCCAACCAAAGAAAGACGCUGGAGAGGAAGGAGGGCCUGGCAGAGGACGAGGGGCCCGAGAGCAGGCGCCGUGGUCACCAGGUGAUCUGGACGGAGAGCAGAUAAGAUAGCAGUCCUGGAGGAAGAAAGCCCCCCCUCUCCCCUUUUACCUCGUGACUCGAGUGAGCCCGCAGCACCCCAAAGCUCCCUUGCCCUAUCACAUGAGGAUACAAGGAGAAGUCCACACCUGGAAGAGGGCUCUCACCCGACUAGGAUGGCACCCUGAUCUGAGACAUGUAUCCUCCAAAACCGGAACAGAUUGCAACUUCCAAGAGUUGUGUGUAUAGACAGGGGAGAGAUGGUAGGACUCACCUUCCUCCUCACACGGCUUGGUGCAGCACAAGUCUCCAACCUGGGUUCAAGUCCUGGUCCCCUUCCUGGGCAACCUUGACGUGGGUAUCCUGUCCUUUACAUCGCGGCCAGGUUGGGCUGGAAAAAGCCCCGGGAUUCCCCCCAGGGCUGAACUGGCUGGUCCUCAAACAAAAUGGCCACCGCGCUUCCCCCUCCUCGGCCGGGAGGGCAUCUCUGCCAGGAGGUGGCACCACGAGCUCAUGUUUCGGGCAGAGACGUGUCUGACCAUUUGGUAAUCGUCCCUCAGCAUUGCAAGGAGCCCGAAAACUCGCCUAUUUAAUAGCUGCCUCUACACAGAUUUUUAAUCACGGUACUGAUGGUGUGAUUGGAUUUUCCACUCUUCUGCUUGCUUCCAGAAGAUCAAAAUCAUCUUCCUGCCAACUGUCCUCAGUAUUUACGAAAGGGCCCUUCACCCACAGCCCAGGGAUGCAGCUCCAAGGACAGAGGCAGACCCAAUUUCUUCCCUUGCUGCCAGGGGGGAUAGAGAAGCCUUUCCUCCCUCCCUCCCUCACGUGCCCCAAGAGCUGGCGCCAGAAGGGAACUCAGAGCCUGGAAAGAUUUCUCUGGGACAAAAGCAGGAAGACACCAGAGAACGGACUUCUGACCACUAGGGGCCUCUGGCGGGGAGCUCUGUCUGCAACUCAUCAAGCAGCCUUUUGUUACCUGCUGCUGGGGGAUUAUUGACCCAAUUGUCAAUUCUGAAAGGUUAUCGGUUUAACAUUCCUGCCUGGCCUGGGGACUGUGUUUUUCUGUGUUUCAUUCCUACCACCAGACGUGAGAUUUGCAUGUGUGAGUCCAUUAGGGGACAGUGUUUACUUCUUCGAUUUAUGUGGGGCCUUCUCUUUGAAAAGCUAAAUCCAGGCUUGCAAAUCAUGCCAGUAGGUAACUGUCAGUGUCCUGACAACAAAGUCUAUUGCUUUUGCCCUGAAAAGGAAGAAGAAUUUUGAGAGUAGGCUUUUCCAUGGCUUCUGGUGACCAAACUGCUCCCUACCCUCCCACCUCCCACAAUUAUUCACUGAUGGAAAUACUCACCUGUCAGGCUUUUUACUGAACUAUUUUAAGUAUUUAGUUGCAUGACUACUUGCAUCCCUUCCAGAAGUAACCAUGCUCCACACCCACCCUGUACUACUGAAUCAGACGGCAAGCAAAUAAGAUGCACUGGGGCUUCAGAGAAUCUCCUCUGGUGGAGGGGGAGGUGGCUGCCUUGAACACCUGGGUCCACAGCCAGCUUAAAGAUAACAGAAACAGGAGUUGCUGCAGACAUACUGGCAAGAUGGAUAGGCAUCCCCAGAAAUUCAAGCAGCUAUUCUCAGGUGGCAGAUGUAGCAUCAGAGAACCACUGUGUGUUAAUACCCUUCUCUUUCCCAUUUUUCUGUUUGCUCACCUAUUUGGAGGGAGGCAGUGCUUUUGUUUUAAAGACUUUUUUUUUUAAUGUGGACCAUUUUAAAAGUCUUUAUUAAAUUUGCUACAGUA
ensembl:lncRNA